UACGUAGGGGGCAAGCGUUGUCCGGAAUUAUUGGGCGUAAAGAGCGCGUAGGCGGUCCGAUAAGUCGGCUGUGAAAGUCAGGGGCUCAACCCUUGGAAGCCGGCCGAUACUGUCGGACUAGAGUCCGGAAGAGGCAAGUGGAAUUCCCGGUGUAGCGGUGAAAUGCGCAGAUAUCGGGAGGAACACCAAUGGCGAAGGCAGCUUGCUGGGACGGUACUGACGCUGAGGCGCGAAAGCGUGGGGAGCGAACGGG
rnacentral:rRNA from 1 species